rnacentral:misc_RNA from 1 species
AAACUCUUGAGGUUGCUUGUUAGUCUGUUGCUUUCAAUUUUUUUUUCUUUUUACUCUGGGGUCCUGGCUCUGUAGAUUCCAUUUAUAUAAAGAAUAUUGAUUCAUCACAUUUUGUGUUAUAUUCAGUGUGUUUCAUUGGAAACAGAAUUCCUUCUUUUGUGCACUAGCAUUACCGAUUGAAAUUGGUCUUCCUUUUACUCCUUGGAAAAAUCUGUUUCUGUUUUGUUAGCUGAUAAUAGGCUUGUGAAUCUGCAUCCUUUUGUGAGUAUUUAUCUGUCAAUUGAAUUAAAUUUGUUCUUGUUUAUAUUUAUGAUAUAAUGGCUUCACAGCCUGUUUUGUUAGUGUUCUUUCAUGAAUACACCAGAGAUUUGUCAUGGGCAUUUCAUCCAGAUGUUAGAUUCGGUCUGGAGUGUUUUAGUUUUUCUAUUAGAAUGGCUUAUUUGAGGUUAAAGCUUGUAUUUCUUCUUUUUAGCUGUCUAAAAUUGUUGGGAUUAGCAAAUGACCCAGGUUGUAACAUUUAUCGAUGGAAUAUGUGUUCUACCCUGUUAUUCUUUCUUUCACCAAGGGUUUGAACAAUUUUUGUAUGCAUAGCCCAAAAUCUAAUUCUUAUGGUUGUUUUAAAUAUGAAAAGUUUUCUUAGAAUCUUGUUAGUCAAUCUUUCAUCUAAGGUUCAAUGGCAGAUUAACGAAGAUUUGUAUGUGCAGUGAAUAAAUGUGAUUGCAUUUAACCCUUUGCAUGUGAUGGGUUUUCUAAUGCAGGGCUCCUAGUUUUAUUUUAUAUAUUCUAAAUUUUGUAGAUUCAUAACAUGAAGUUUUUUUUAAACAGUGCAUAAAAAUAAAUGCUUUGCAUUUCAUUAGUUUGUUUUAUCCCUUUUUCUAUUUUUUUAUAUAAAUAAAUUAGUAUGUAUUUUAAUUAAUCAUCAAUUGUUGUUAAUGAUGAGAUUCUAAAAGUGGUUAGAGGGGUCACUCAUUAGUCUUAAAUUACGUCACUAAUUCAAGAUAGAUUAAAUUGAGAUCCCUAU